UGUUCACAACAGCCAUCAGAUAACGGACCCGUCAUUACAAACACGUGUGGGGAACAUUGCUAAGCAGUGGAGAGGAUGUUGUGCAGAAUCCUUCACAGAUGCUGACCAGUACUGCUUGACUUUCCCAGCAAAUAUGACAGUAGAUUGUAAGGCCCUACUGAUGGGUUCUCUCUUCAUUGUGGAGUACCUUGUGUUUGAGAGACAGACGAGGAACAAUUAGAUGAGGUGUUGCCUUGGCAACGUGUAUACUAGGUAAUGUGUAUAUCAUAUGACAAAAUGCAAAAUACACUUGCUUUGAAACUAAACAUCUACAUAGACUUACUUGAUUUGACAAUUCUUAAAUGAUUUCUUUUAUUUGCGUUGUUAUCUAAUUUUUAUUGUUUUAUAUUUCAUUAUCCCCCCCAUACUAUGUUGAGGUGUAUUCACUUUGUCUGUCUGUCUGUCCUUAUGUCACAAAAGUUUGUUUAGACUCCUCUGAGACUACUGGUGAGAUUUCAACAAAACUUUAUAGGAAGGUUCAGUUUUAGGGCUAGUUUUCGCAUAAUCAACUUGUAGAUGCAAACAGUACUGCUUUUUACCUCUCUGGAUAUCUUUGCUCUUUGACCAGAUAUUGCAUAUUCAUUUACUCUGCCAUUUUUUAACAAGCAGUAUGGGAAGACAUGUUGCUUUUUCCAGAAGCAGUCUCAAGUUUUAUACUAUUUUAUGGCCUUCAGAAAAAGAAAUGAACAACUUAAGUUUUAGUGUAAAGUGAUAGGAUAUAAACUCUGUCAGGAUUUUGCUGUGUUCUAAAGAACUGAAUCUGUUCAUACAUUUUCUUAUAUUAAGAAAAGAGAAUAUUUGAAAAAGCAACUUUACUGAUGUGUGAUUAUUAAUGGCACAAACUAUGUGUCAAAGUUUUAUCAAUUACAGGACUGAUAGUAUAUAGUAAUAUUGACAUCAAGAACCUACUCGUAGCAACGAAGAAAUAAUACCAUAUUUUUUUCCACUGUUUUACAUAUAAGGCACAGAAACUAUAAAUGGCAGAAGGUUGUUGAAAUUUUACACUCUUAACCAGCAUAUCCUACCAAAAAAUUGUAAUGUAAUAUUUGUUUUUCAGUUUGUGUCUUUACAGAUCUUGAUAUUAAACAAGUCACAGGAUGGAUCUCUGUGUACAUGUGCGUGUGUAUAUGUAUAUAAACUUUUAUGUGUAAGCAGGAUUCUUUGUUCAUAAAAGCAAAUAAUUGUACAAUAAAACCUGACACUAAUAAUACAGUGAGACCUUUCAAAUCUUGGAGAAAAAAAUGUCAUUAAUUUGUUUUGCAUGGACAUAUUGUAAGUCUGUUAUAUCAAAGUUUAACUAUUUUACAGAAUUAAGAGCACAUUGGAUGUCUGUACAGAUGGUAGUUUUGAAUGAUAGUUUUGGUCUGUAUUGUGGAUUUCGAAUGCAUAUACAUGAAAUAUAU
rnacentral:lncRNA from 1 species